AUACGGAGGAUCCGAGCGUUAUCCGGAUUUAUUGGGUUUAAAGGGUGCGUAGGCGGCCUUGUAAGUCAGAUGUGAAAGAUCAUGGCUUGACUGUGGUAAGCAUUUGAAACUGCAGGGCUUGAGUACAGGAGAGGAGAGUGGAAUUCCUAGUGUAGCGGGGAAAUGCGUAGAUAUUAGGAGGAAUACCAGGGGCGAAAGCGGCUCUCUGGUCUGUAACUGACGCUGAGGCUCGAAAGCGUGGGGAGCAAACAGGAUUAGAUACCCUGGUAGUCCACGCCGUAAACGAUGAGUGCUAGGUGUUAGGCCCUUUCCGGGGCUUAGUGCCGCAGCUAACGCAUUAAGCACUCCGCCUGGGGAGUACGCCGGCAACGGUGAAACUUAAAGGAAUUGACGGGG
rnacentral:rRNA from 1 species